rnacentral:lncRNA from 1 species
UAACCCGACACCUUAUCACCCACGAAUCCUCUCAUAACCACUCUUGACACCGCCCUCACAACACCCUUCGCACAUCCCGCACUCCCCUUCGUCUGCACUAGCCAUCGACGGAGCAUUUGGGACUCGCCGGAGUUCCUUGAGUUACGUCGGAACCCGGCGCAAACCGGUUCGACAAAGAAAAGUCACCAUAGUUUUACUCACUCUCGAACACCCUCAGCUUCGUCGGAGGAAACAAGAAGACAGACGGAGAACACGCCCUCACCGGAGAAAGCCGACAUCACUGAAGUUCAUGCCGGACUUUUACGAUGGAACUCGACAAGUAACUGUUUCGGUUAAUCGCUUUGCUCGUUCUCUUGGAUUCUCCAAACUUUACUCGUGCGUUAUUACAAGAAAACGCAACGCAACCAAUGUUGAAUGAUCAAGAAAACAAGAAUCAAGUUAGGAUGGACAUUAGAAACCCAUUUUAGCAAUAAACUAUGUUUAAAUUUAUGUUUUGGAUAUUUGAAAUUUGUAUUGUUCCUU